rnacentral:rRNA from 1 species
CAAGUCGAACGGUAGCACAGAGAGCUUGCUCUCGGGUGACGAGUGGCGGACGGGUGAGUAAUGUCUGGGAAACUGCCUGAUGGAGGGGGAUAACUACUGGAAACGGUAGCUAAUACCGCAUAAUGUCGCAAGACCAAAGAGGGGGACCUUCGGGCCUCUUGCCAUCAGAUGUGCCCAGAUGGGAUUAGCUAGUAGGUGGGGUAACGGCUCACCUAGGCGACGAUCCCUAGCUGGUCUGAGAGGAUGACCAGCCACACUGGAACUGAGACACGGUCCAGACUCCUACGGGAGGCAGCAGUGGGGAAUAUUGCACAAUGGGCGCAAGCCUGAUGCAGCCAUGCCGCGUGUAUGAAGAAGGCCUUCGGGUUGUAAAGUACUUUCAGCGGGGAGGAAGGUGUUGUGGUUAAUAACCACAGCAAUUGACGUUACCCGCAGAAGAAGCACCGGCUAACUCCGUGCCAGC